GGUCUAAAUGUGAAUUCACAAGAGCACUCGCCAAAAAAUGGGAUGGCAAAAGUAAAUGCAAAUACUGAUUUAUCAACAGAAUUUCAGAAACAUGUAUUGAAAAAGUUAAAUCAACUACUGAAUGCAAUGAGUCAAAUGGAAGAAAGAAUUAAGAACAUUGAGAGUUCUUUGACUACAAAAGAUGACAAUGAAGUCACUAUGGACACUGUUGAUUUACAGUUACCAUGCGUUACUAUUGAAAAGUUUAUAGAGUUUGACACAUCUCUUUGCGAACAAGGACACUUGAAGAAAGUGGUAAACAUCCUCAAGCACGUUGGAGGUGGUAAUGUACAUGACAUCAUAAUAAAUUUGAUGAAGAGAUUAAUGGAGGAUGAAGUGGCAGAACAGUUCAGCUGGGUUGGUGCAAAGGGCAAAAAACCAUUCAAGGAUUUGAAAGCACGGUUCCUGAUUUUAGAGACUCUGCUUGCUCAUGGUAAGCAAUCUACAGAAGUAGAAGUUGGACAUGUGGUGGCUAGAUGGCUUGUGCAGGCAAAGCUAAGGCUGCAAAGAAAGAAUGAAAAAAUCUCAAGAACACCUGCAUGAGGCAGUUAAAAAUUUCAUGUUUUGUAUGUAUAUAAU